ACUGGAUCCUCGCGUGACGUUAUCGUCCGAACCUCCCCAGGGCCGGAAGGCAGCAAGGAUAAGGGCGCUCUGAUGGGUACGCGGGGAUUCUUUAUG
rnacentral:SRP_RNA from 2 species